GACGAACGCUGGCGGCGUGCUUAACACAUGCAAGUCGAACGGAAAGGCCCUGCUUUUGUGGGGUUCUCGAUUGGCGAACGGGUGAGUAACACGUGAGUAACCUGCCCUUGACUUUGGGAUAACUUCAGGAAACUGGGGCUAAUACCGGAUAGGAGCUGCUGCUGCAUGGUGGGGGUUGGAAAGUUUCGGCGGUUGGGGAUGGACUGGCGGCUGAUCAGCUUGUUGGUGGGGUAGGGGCCUACCAAGGCGAUGACGGGUAGCCGGCCGGAGAGGGUGACCGGCGACACGGGAAGGGAGACACGGUCAAGAGGCCUAAGGGAGGCAGCAGUGGGGAACAGGGGGCAAUGGGCGCAAGCAUGACCCAGCCAUACCGCGUGUGUGAAGAAGGCGUCCGGGGUGUAAAGCCCUUGUGUGGGGAAAGAAAAGCAGCAGCUUAAGACCCCGCUGGUCUGACGGUACCCAAAGAAUAAGCACCGGCUAACUUCGUG
rnacentral:rRNA from 1 species